rnacentral:rRNA from 1 species
UAGGGAAUAUUGCACAAUGGAGGAAACUCUGAUGCAGCAACGCCGCGUGAGUGAAGAAGGCCCUUGGGUCGUAAAGCUCUUUAGCGAGGGAAGAAGCUGUGUACGGUGAAUAAUCGUGCAUGGUGACGGUACCUCGAGAAUAAGCACCGGCUAAUUUCGUGCCAGCAGCCGCGGUAAUACGAAAGGUGCAAGCGUUACUCGGAAUCACUGGGCGUAAAGCGCACGUAGGCGGACUCGUAGGUCAGUUGUGAAAUACCUGAGCUCAACUCAGGAAUUGCAGCUGAAACCGCUUGUCUUGAAUACCUGAGAGGGUGGGGGAAUACCUGGUGGAGAAGUGAAAUUCGUAGAGAUCAGGUGGAACACCGGAGGCGAAGGCGCCUGCCUGGCAGUGUAUUGACGCUGAGGUGCGAAAGUGCGGGGAGCAAACAGG